rnacentral:tRNA from 2 species
GCCGCGUUCGUCUAGAGGCCUAGGACGCUGCCCUCUCACGGCGGUAACACGGGUUCGAAUCCCGUACGCGGUACCA